AACGAACGCUGGCGGCAUGCCUAACACAUGCAAGUCGAACGAGACCUCCGGGUCUAGUGGCGCACGGGUGCGUAACGCGGGGGAACCUGCCCUUAGGUUCGGAAUAACUCCCCGAAAGGGGUGCUAAUACCGGUUAAUGUCUUCGGACCAAAGAUUUAUCGCUUUUGGAUGGGCCCGCGUUGGGUUAGCCAGUUGGUAGGGUAAAAGCCUACCAAGGCGACGAUCCAUAGCUGGUCUGAGAGGAUGAUCAGCCACACUGGGCCUGAGACACGGCCCAGACUCCUACGGGAGGCAGCAGUGGGGAAUAUUGGACAAUGGGCGAAAGCCUGAUCCAGCAAUGCCGCGUGAGUGAUGAAGGCCUUAGGGUUGUAAAGCUCUUUUACCCGGGAUGAUAAUGACGGUACCGGGAGAAUAAGCUCCGGCUAACUCCGUG
rnacentral:rRNA from 1 species